ensembl:lncRNA
GUAACUCUUACUCUGUUUCAGAUAGAAACGUAUAACUCUUACUCUGUUUCAGAUAGAACGUGUAACUCUUACUCUGUUUCAGAUAGAACGUGUAGACUUUAUAACGUGUAACUCUUACUCUGUUUAUGAUAGAAACGUGUAACUCUUACUCUGUUUCAGAUAGAACGUGUAACUCUUACUCUGUUUAUGAUAGAAACGUGUAACUCUUACUCUGUUUAUGAUAGAACGUGUAACUCUUAUUCUGUUUCAGAUAGAAACGUGUAACUCUUACUCUGUUUAUGAUAGAACGUGUAACUCUUACUCUGUUUCAGAUAGAACGUGUAACUCGUACUCUGUUUCAGGUAGAACGUGUAACUCUUACUCUGUUUCAGAUAGAACGUGUAGACUUUAUAACGUGUAACUCUUACUCUGUUUCAGAUAGAACGUGUAACUCUUACUCUGUUUCAGAUAGAACGUGUAGACUUUAUAACGUGUAACUCUUACUCUGUUUAUGAUAGAACGUGUAACUCUUACUCUGUUUCAGAUAGAACGUGUAACUCGUACUCUGUUUCAGGUAGAACGUGUAACUCUUACUCUGUUUCAGAUAGAACGUGUAACUCGUACUCUGUUUCAGGUAGAACGUGUAGACUUUAUAACGUGUAACUCUUACUCUGUUUCAGCUAGAAUGUGUAACUCUUACUCUGUUUAUGAUAGAACGUGUAACUCGUACUCUGUUUCAGAUAGAACGUGUAACUCUUACUCUGUUUCAGAUAGAACGUGUAGACUUUAUAACGUGUAACUCUUACUCUGUUUAUGAUAGAACGUGUAACUCUUACUCUGUUUAUGAUAGAACGUGUAACUCUUACUCUGUUUAUGAUAGAAACGUGUAACUCUUACUCUGUUUAUGAUAGAACGUGUAACUCUUACUCUGUUUCAGAUAGAACGUG